rnacentral:rRNA from 1 species
UACGGAGGGUCCAAGCGUUAUCCGGAAUCAUUGGGUUUAAAGGGUCCGUAGGCGGUUUUGUAAGUCAGUGGUGAAAGCCCAUCGCUCAACGGUGGAACGGCCAUUGAUACUGCAAGACUUGAAUUAUUGGGAAGUAACUAGAAUAUGUAGUGUAGCGGUGAAAUGCUUAGAGAUUACAUGGAAUACCAAUUGCGAAGGCAGGUUAC